GUGGGCGUAGCUCAAUGGUAGAGCAUUCGGUUGUGGUCCGAAAGGCUGCGGGUUCGAUCCCCGUCGUCCACCCCA
rnacentral:tRNA from 1 species